CAGUCUCUUCUUACACUGGAGCUGUGUGGAGCAUCUUCUCUGGACAGCAUCUCACAACAGGCGUAACGCUCGUGGCGAGAACAGAAGACAUGUCCACAUGAGUUCCCAUCAUCAACGCCGCCUCAGACACGGACAGCUGAGGAUCGGAGGGACCGCUCGUACAUAUAGGUGCUGUUCUUAAAAGAAAUGUCCACAAAGACCUCCUCCUCCUCCUCCUCCUCCUC